CACUCAUUCAUUCGCUGAUUUUGCUCGCUAAUUCAAUCAAUCAUUCAUUCACUCAAUUCUUUUCGAAAUUCCGAGAAAAAAAAUCUUGAUUCCGAAAUAUUCGGAAAUAAAAGCAAACAAAUAAUGGUCAUUUUACCGUAUUUACAUUGUUUACCGUAUAAACAAGAUGGUUUCUUAUUAUCACCAAAUGCAUCGUGACUGGUUGCUCGUCCACCAAGUCCAGGGUUUUUUCUCUAGCACGUGAUGAAGCAUUGCAGGCUCUAAGGAUACAGUACCUCCUGCCUGCAAAUCCUUUAUCAGGAACUAUGACAAAGGAGCAACUUCGUCAAAGAAAGGUCUGCCAAUCACAUUUUGAGGAUAAAUAAAUCUAAAACAAUCUAUUGGUUAUGACAAUGAUGAAUGGAUGUCCUAUUUUUUAUUUAUCCAUGAUGAAAAUAAUAACAUCUCGGCGACCAUCCAAGCUGUUGCUGAUCAGGUCAUCCAGUAAGUUAAACUGCUAAUAGAGAUAACUUCAAUUCAAUGUUGUUGCCAGAUAAUGCUGUGAGUGAAGAAACUAUAUCCUGCCAUCUACAUCAGAGCCACAUCUGUCAUUAUGGAUAAUAUUAUUGCUGCGUCCUAAGGUUCAGCUUGCAAAUAAACCUAUCAAGCAGAGGCGGUACACACAAACAAAAGAUUCCGGCCCAGUGUAUAGUUUUUUUAACUAAAGUUUUUUGUUAUUUUUGCCUCAAGAAUGUACUUAUUGUGAAUUUCUUUGUUAAUGGCUGUAUAGUUUUACUUGAGUCAAAGAAAAUCGUAGUUGUUGUAUAAAAAAAUAAUUUAUAAAUCUAUUAGGGUACAUUUUA